UACGUAGGGGGCGAGCGUUGUCCGGAAUCAUUGGGCGUAAAGCGCGUGUAGGCGGCUCGGUAAGUCCGGUGUGAAACCUUGGGGCUCAACCCCAAGCCUGCACUGGAUACUGUCGAGCUUGAGUCCGGGAGGGGAGAGCGGAAUUCCUAGUGUAGCGGUGAAAUGCGCAGAUAUUAGGAAGAACACCGGUGGCGAAGGCGGCUCUCUGGAACGGUACUAACGCUGAGACGCGAAAGCGUGGGGAGCGAACAGG
rnacentral:rRNA from 1 species